GUGCUCACUUCAGCAGCACAUAUACUAAAACUGAAACGAUACAGAGAAGAUUAGCAUGGCCCCCUCACAUGGAUGACAUGCAAAUUCGUGAAGCGUCCCAUAUUUUU